AUCGGUCCAGGAGGAAGCUGCCUCCCCCUCCUCCAGAUAACGACGACGGAGACAUACUAGUGGUAGCCAUGUAUGACUUCACAGCGAAAGAGGACUCGACCUGACUUUGACUCAGGGAGACGAGUACACCAUCCUACACAAACAGGACCAGCUGUGGUGGAGGGCACAGGACAAACAUGGAAAUAAGGGAUUUAUCCCCAGCAACUAUGUUACAGAAAAGGACAGGAUUGAGGCCAACCAGUGGUACUGUCAGAGCAUCACCAGAUCAGAGGCUGAACAGCUGCUACGACAGGAGGUUCCAGUCCGGGUUUUGUUCUUUCUUCGAUCAAUCAAUUAGCCAGACUAUCUGUUAGUCAGGUAGUCUGCUUGUCUAUCUGUUUCUCCUGUGCUGUAAAUCUGUAGAUAUUCUACAAUUGUUCAUUUCAUCU